GUCCACGCCGUAAACGAUGGAUACUAGCUGUUCGGGGCAACCUGAGUGGCUAAGCGAAAGUGAUAAGUAUCCCACCUGGGGAGUACGUUCGCAAGAAUGAAACUCAAAGGAAUUGACGGGGGCCCGCACAAGCGGUGGAGCAUGUGGUUUAAUUCGAUGAUACGCGAGGAACCUUACCAAGGCUUAAAUGUAGAUUGACAGGACUGGAAACAGUUUUUUCUCGGACAAUUUACAAGGUGCUGCAUGGUUGUCGU
rnacentral:rRNA from 1 species